UCUAAGUUCGACAUAACCACUUCUGGUUGGAAGUUUGAAAUAAUAUACAACAAUUGAGGUAUCCGGUUUUAUAUACUGGUAACUGAUAUCGUUAUCUAGUUACCAUAUUCAAGUUGAGUGCAUUUGCAAGUUGAGCAAAUAUCCGUACUUAUUAAUAAAAUAUGGAUAAUAAAUACAAAGGGCACUCAAAUACUCUUUGAAAUAAUCAAAUGUUUAAAACAUUUUUGAAAUAGAUAAGAUAAGAAAUAUAUGUGUGGAUUAUAGUAGUUAAGCAAUCACUUAUGUAAUUGUUAUAAUAUUAAGAACAGAAUGAAGAAGAAAUGAA